GACGAACGCUGGCGGCGUGCUUAACACAUGCAAGUCGAACGGAAAGGCCCUGCUUGCGUGGGGUGCUCGAGUGGCGAACGGGUGAGUAACACGUGAGUAACCUGCCCUUGACUUUGGGAUAACUUCAGGAAACUGGGGCUAAUACCGGAUAGGAGCUCCUGCUGCAUGGUGGGGGUUGGAAAGUUUGGGCGGAUGGGGAUGGACUCGCGGCUUAUCAGCUUGUUGGUGGGGUAGUGGCUUACCAAGGCUUUGGCGGGUAGCCGGCCUGAGAGGGUGACCGGCCACAUUGGGACUGAGAUACGGCCCAGACUCCUACGGGAGGCAGCAGUGGGGAAUAUUGCACAAUGGGCGGAAGCCUGAUGCAGCAACGCCGCGUGCGGGAUGACGGCCUUCGGGUUGUAAACCGCUUUCGCCUGUGACGAAGCGUGAGUGACGGUAAUGGGUAAAGAAGCACCGGCUAACUACGUG
rnacentral:rRNA from 1 species